ACUGGGAGGUGUGAUCUCACACUCGCUGGGAGGUGUGCUAUCGUCUUCCCUGGGAGGUGUGAUCCUGUUCUUCCUGAGCG
ensembl:miRNA MIR3689D2 microRNA 3689d-2